CCUACGGGAGGCAGCAGUGGGGGAUAUUGCACAAUGGGGGAAACCCUGAUGCAGCGACGCCGCGUGGGUGAAGAAGUAUUUCGGUAUGUAAAGCCCUAUCAGCAGGGAAGAAAACAGACAGUACCUGACUAAGAAGCCCCGGCUAACUACGUGCCAGCAGCCGCGGUAAUACGUAGGGGGCGAGCGUUAUCCGGAUUCACUGGGUGUAACGGGAGCGUAGACGGGUGUGCAAGCCAGGAGUGAAAGGCCGGGGCACAACCCCGGGACUGCCCUUGGAACUGUGGGGCUAGAGUGCGGGAGGGGUAGGCGGAAUUCAUGGUGUAGCGGUGAAAUGCGUAGAUAUCAGGAGGAACACCGGUGGCGAAGGCGGCUUGCUGGACCGCGACUGACGUUGAGGCACGAAAGUGUGGGGAGCGAACAGGAUUAGAUACCCUAGUAGUC
rnacentral:rRNA from 1 species